rnacentral:rRNA from 1 species
GACGUAGGGUCCAAGCGUUGUCCGGAAUUAUUGGGCGUAAAGGGCGCGUAGGCGGCUUGGCAAGUGGAAGGUGAAAUCCCUCGGCUUAACCGAGGAACUGCCUUCCAGACUGCUUUGCUUGAGGCCGGGAGAGGCGAGUGGAAUUCCCAGUGUAGCGGUGAAAUGCAUAGAUAUUGGGAGGAACACCAGUGGCGAAGGCGGCUCGCUGGACCGGUUCUGACGCUGAUGCGCGAAAGCGUGGGGAGCAAACGGG